rnacentral:rRNA from 1 species
GACGAACGCUAGCGGCAGGCCUAAUACAUGCAAGUCGAACGGUAAGGUCUCUUCGGAGAUACACGAGUGGCGCACGGGUGCGUAACACGUAUGCAACCUACCCUUCAGAGGGGGAUAGCCAGUGGAAACGCUGAAUAAUACCCCAUAUUCUCUUAGUUUCACCUGAGACAAAGAGGAAAGCUCCGGCGCUGAGGGAUGGGCAUGCGGCCCAUUAGUUAGUUGGUGAGGUAACGGCUCACCAAGACUCCGAUGGGUAGCUGGUCUGAGAGGAUGAUCAGCCACACGGGCACUGAGACACGGGCCCGACUCCUACGGGAGGCAGCAGUAAGGAAUAUUGGUCAAUGGGGGCAACCCUGAACCAGCCAUGCCGCGUGAGGGAAGACGGUCCUCUGGAUUGUAAACCUCUUUUAUAUGGGACUAAUAAGGUGGUAUACUCACCGAUGCAGGUACCAUAGGAAUAAGCACCGGCUAACUACG